rnacentral:rRNA from 1 species
AGCGAACGCUGGCGGCAGGCUUAACACAUGCAAGUCGAACGCUCGUAGCAAUACGGGAGUGGCAGACGGGUGAGUAACGCGUGGGAACGUGCCCUUUGGUUCGGAAUAACUCAGGGAAACUUGAGCUAAUACCGGAUAAGCCCCUUACGGGGGAAAGAUUUAUCGCCGAAGGAUCGGCCCGCGUCCGAUUAGCUAGUUGGUGAGGUAAUGGCUCACCAAGGCGACGAUCGGUAGCUGGUCUGAGAGGAUGAUCAGCCACACUGGGACUGAGACACGGCCCAGACUCCUACGGGAGGCAGCAGUGGGGAAUAUUGGACAAUGGGGGCAACCCUGAUCCAGCCAUGCCGCGUGAGUGAUGAAGGCCCUAGGGUUGUAAAGCUCUUUCGACGGGGACGAUAAUGACGGUACCCGUAGAAGAAGCCCCGGCUAACUUCGUGCCAGCCGCCGCCGUAACAC